rnacentral:rRNA from 1 species
AGUGGCGGACGGGUGAGUAACGCGUAAGAAUCUAACUUCAGGACGGGGACAACAGUUGGAAACGACUGCUAAUACCCGAUGUGCCGCAAGGUGAAACCUAAUUGGCCUGGAGAAGAGCUUGCGUCUGAUUAGCUAGUUGGUGGGGUAAAGGCCUACCAAGGCGACGAUCAGUAGCUGGUCUGAGAGGAUGAGCAAUCACACUGGGACUGAGACACGGCCCAGACUCCUACGGGAGGCAGCAGUGGGGAAUUUUCCGCAAUGGGCGAAAGCCUGACGGAGCAACGCCGCGUGAGGGAGGAAGGUCUUUGGAUUGUAAACCUCUUUUCUCAAGGAAGAAGUUCUGACGGUACUUGAGGAAUCAGCCUCGGCUAACUCCGUGCCAGCAGCCGCGGUAAUACGGGGGAGGCAAGCGUUAUCCGGAAUUAUUGGGCGUAAAGCGUCCGCAGGUGGUCAGCCAAGUCUGCCGUCAAAUCAGGUUGCUUAACGACCUAAAGGCGGUGGAAACUGGCAGACUAGAGAGCAGUAGGGGUAGCUGGAAUUCCCAGUGUAGCGGUGAAAUGCGUAGAGAUUGGGAAGAACAUCGGUGGCGAAAGCGUGCUACUGGGCUGUAUCUGACACUCAGGGACGAAAGCUAGGGGAGCGAAAGGGAUUAGAUACCCCUGUAGUCCUAGCCGUAAACGAUGGAUACUAGGCGUGGCUU